UGAGGAAUAUUGGUCAAUGGCCGGGAGGCUGAACCAGCCAAGCCGCGUGAAGGAAGACGGCCCUACGGGUUGUAAACUUCUUUUGUCGGGGAACAAAAGGGAGGACGAGUCCUCCUCUGCGGGUACCCGAAGAAAAAGCAUCGGCUAACUCCGUGCCAGUAGCCGCGGUAAUACGGAGGAUGCGAGCGUUAUCCGGAUUUAUUGGGUUUAAAGGGUGCGUAGGCGGUCUGUUAAGUCAGCGGUAAAAGACCGGGGCUCAACCCCGGCAAGCCGUUGAAACUGGCGGACUAGAGACGGAGAGAAGUAAGCGGAAUGCGCAGUGUAGCGGUGAAAUGCAUAGAUAUUGCGCAGAACUCCGAUUGCGAAGCAGCUUACCGGCUCCGGACUGACGACUGAGGCACAGAAAGCGUGGGAUCAAACAGGAUUAGAUACC
rnacentral:rRNA from 1 species